rnacentral:rRNA from 1 species
CAGGCCUAACACAUGCAAGUCGAACGGGAAAGUUCUUUUCGGAGAGCGAGUAAAGUGGCGAACGGGUGAGUAACGCGUGGGUGAUCUACCCUUGGGUGGGGGAUAACCCNGGGGAAACCCGGGCUAAUACCGCAUGAGCCUAAAGUUGUAAGUAAUUUUAGGGAAAGUUUUCGAAUGCCGAAGGAGGAGCCCGCGUCCGAUUAGCUAGUUGGUGAGGUAAGAGCUCACCAAGGCAACGAUCGGUAGCCGGUAUGAGAGGACGGACGGUCACACUGGGACUGAGACACGGCCCAGACUCCUACGGGAGGCAGCAGUGGGGAAUUUUGGGCAAUGGGCGAAAGCCUGACCCAGCAACGCCGCGUGGAGGAUGAAGGUUUUCGGAGAGUAAACUCCUGGAUAGAGGGACGAAGCAAGUGACGGGCACCGAUGGAGGAAGCCCCGGCUAACUACCGUGCCAGCAGCCGCGGUA